GAUGAACGCUGGCGGCGUGCCUAAUACAUGCAAGUCGAACGAAACUUCUUUAUCACCGAGUGCUUGCACUCACCGAUAAAGAGUUGAGUGGCGAACGGGUGAGUAACACGUGGGCAACCUGCCCAAAAGAGGGGGAUAACACUUGGAAACAGGUGCUAAUACCGCAUAACCAUAGUUACCGCAUGGUAACUAUGUAAAAGGUGGCUAUACUACCGCUUUUGGAUGGGCCCGCGGCGCAUUAGCUAGUUGGUAGGGUAAAGGCUUACCAAGGCAAUGAUGCGUAGCCGAAUUGAGAGGUUGAUCGGCCACAUUGGGACUGAGACACGGCCCAAACUCCUACGGGAGGCAGCAGUAGGGAAUCUUCCACAAUGGGCGAAAGCCUGAUGGAGAACGCCGCGUGGGUGAAGAAGGUCUUCGGAUCGUAAAACCCUGUUGUUAGAGAAGAAAGUGCGUGAGAGUAACUGUUCACGUUUCGACGGUAUCUAACCAGAAAGCCACGGCUAACUACGUG
rnacentral:rRNA from 1 species